rnacentral:rRNA from 1 species
AUUACAUUUUGAUCCUGGCUCAAAACGAACGCUGGCGGCAUGCCUAACACUUGCAAGUCAAACGAGGCCUUUCGGGUUUAAUUGGCGAACGGGGGCGUACCGCGGGGGAAUCUGCCCUUUGGUUCGCACACCAACUGGAAACGGCUGCUAUUACCGGAUGAUGACAAAAGCCCAAAUAUUUUCCGCCAAAGGAGGACCCCCCUUGGGAUUGGGUAGUGGGGGGGGAAAAGGCCGACAAGGCCAAGGAUCCAUAGCGGGUCGAAGAGGAGGAUCGGCCACACCGGAACUGAAACCCGGCCCAAACUCCUACGGGAGGCACCCGUGGGGAAGAUUGAACAAGGGACCCAACCCUGAUCCACCAAUGCCGCAUGAGUGAUGACGGCCCUAG